CGGCGGGCGGACCACGCAGCCGUCGGGCUUCCCGGCUUCGUGAGCGCCUUCACUCUGGAUAAAAAGGCUCCUCUGUCCUGGGGAGUCUCCAGGCAAGAAUGCUGUGGUGAGCUGCCACACCCUCCUCCCGGGGACCUUCCCGACCCAGGGAUCGAACCUCUGACUCUCAUUCUUCUUACUCUUCACCCACAGCAUUGACAGAUUUCCUCCAGGGGAGUCUUCCAAAGCGGUGAUGCAACCCACCCAGUGGGCAGAACUCGGAGCAGAACUCCAGAGUGGUGGAGGUGGUCCUCAAGCUCAGCCAGGCACUCGGUCCGAACCCUGAGAUUCUCCAUGAACCAGAGCCAGAGGCCGCUUUCCAGAAGCCAUGGUGGGAGUGAACUCUGGUUCCAGCGCACGCACAUGGCACGGCAGUCCCCGUCAUUCCUAUCUCACCGACAGGGAACCGAGGCGCCUGGCAGAGUCAACGUCACAGCUCGUCAACACUGACGCCUCAUUGGGCCUCCUGGGGACGCCAGGCACACAGCUAAGCUCGUGCCUCAAGUGUUGGUGGUCCCAACGGAAGAGCAGCCUUUCUCCUCCUCGGCCCCGGCGCUGGCACUCUGUCCCCUUCCCGCUCAGCCAAGACCACACUGUCCAGAGGUCCGGCAGUGUGGCCGUUUCCAGAUACAGACUCCUCCCUGUUCCUUUUCUGUUGAGAUGAAGGACCUCUCUAUUGCCCGCCCUUUACGAUGCUGACUGUAUUCUGGAAUCCCAAAGCUCCUCACUCACAGCUCUCUGCAAUCCAUCUGUGUCCUCCUUACCUCCUCCCCUGGGGGGUCCUGUGUCAGAUGGGGGGGUUCCACCUCUGACCCCCCUGGUCACUACCCCCUCGACUUCCCAUCUGUUUUAAAAGAACGUGGGGUUCCAAGCAUCCAGAGUCCUUGAGAAUGACUUUAAC
ensembl:lncRNA